CAUUAGAGAGCUGUAUUAGCUUCAGUCUUUUACCCUGACGAAAAUGAAUGUCAUUUCUAAUGAAUGUUUCUA
rnacentral:tRNA from 1 species